AAGACACUAGUAAAAAAGAAAUAACACUGCUUUGUCAGGGCAGAGUCGCGGGUUAAACUCCCGCGUGUCUUG
rnacentral:tRNA from 1 species